rnacentral:rRNA from 2 species
UUACGCUGUUAUCCCUAAGGUAAUUUAGUCUUAUAAUCAAUAUAAAUGGAUCAAAUACAUAUAAAUAAAUAUAAAAUAAAUAAAAAGAGUUAAUUAAAUCUUUCCAUCACCCCAACAAAAUAAAUUUUUACAUUAGAAAUUAUCAUACAAAAAAAAUAAAAAUAUAUAAAACUCUAUAGGGUCUUCUCGUCCCAAAAAAACAUUUAGGCAUUUUAACCUAAAAUUUAAGUUCAAAAAAAAAAUAAAGACAGUUAACACCUCGUCAAACCAUUCAUUCCAGCCUACAAUUAAAAGACUAAUGAUUAUGCUACCUUUGCACGGUCAAAAUACCGCGGCCCUUCAAUAUUCAGUGGGCAGGCCAUACAUCAAAAUAUAUUCAAGAAGAGAUGUUUUUGAUAAACAGGCG